AUGGAAAUGAUUGUGAAUUGUGCGCCACAGUAGAAGAAAGAACUUAACACCGAGGAACCUAAGAAAGGUAUAUAAGAAGAUGGAAUCGUUUGCAAUUAAAUGCUUUUCAUUAAAUACCUUUUGAUUUUCUGUUGCAUCGGAAUAUAUUUAAUGGAAAUCUUAUUCUUAAGGUCAAUCAGAAGGUUGCCCCAUGCUACAUAAUAUUUCUUAUCAUUUGUUGCAAUAUUUUGCCAUUUUAUGCAACAUUUUCUUUGAGCUGCGCCCAGGCCUGGCCUUUCUUUAUCUCCUAGCCCCGCAGCAUACACAUUAAAUCUACAAAGAUUGCUCAACCCGCUCUCUUCCGCUUGCUUCAACAUACCAUAUUGCGCAUACGCAAUGCAAUCCACAAACAUUUGGCCUUGCUGUUGUUUGCUAACUCUCUGAUCUUCCGCCUGGCAUACAUAUAUACAAAGGAAAUCGACAUCAAACAAAAACAACCUGAGUUAGUUUUAGUUGGAAAUAGGCAGCAAUAGCAGCAGCAACAAGUGCAACCGGUCGACUGCAUUAAUGACAAGAAUUUCUAAUGGGAAAUGCCAAACAGAAAACGAAAAAUUGUUCCAACAACUCAAACGGAAAACAGCAAUAGCCAUAGUUAGGCCCAUUAUAAAGGCGCGACUUUGAAGCUGUAGACAGCGGGGAAUGAAAUUGUAGACUGAGAAGUACAGACAGAGACAGAGAGAUAGAGAGAGAGAGAGAGAGAAGGAGAAAAGUUUUUCUUACGUGACCACAAUAGAAGCAGCAAACAGAAUCGGCAACAGCAUCAGCGCCGACAGCAGUGAAGAUUUACACGUCUGACCUUGGGGUAGCGAAAAUCUUGCUGCAAUCUUCAAUAAUAAAAUUAAAUAUAAUUGCCCAAAGGGGGAUUGGGGUGGGGCCUAGCGAUAGAAUAGCUCUGGCACUAACAAAAGCAAACUGCCAAUCAAAUUGUCAGUCAAGUGGAAACAGAUCCCGCUGCAAACUGCAACUGCAUCAACACGAGCGCGCCGGGGCGAAGAAAUUUUCGCAACAAAAACAACAAACCCCAACUUCUCUCUCUCCCUCUCUCUCUCUUUCAGAAAACUCAACACCCAACUGCAGCAGAUGCAGCAAAUCCAUUUAAAGUGUAACUCGACUAAGUGCACUCAACAUGAAAGGAAAUGUUUGGCACACAUAACCAUGGAGAUUGCUACAACAUCAAAAAGGGUAAAGGUGCAUCUAAAAAUUGUCUUAAAUAUUUUAAAACACAGAAAAAGGAUACAGGGGUUCAACAUUUGAAGCCGAUCUCUUAACAAUACCUGGAGGAAGUCGUUUGGUGCCCCGAGCAACCACUGUACCUCUACUAAACAAGAUGAGUGCAAAACUUGGCAAAAACAAAUAGUGCAAAGACCUUGAAAUGCUGCUGCUGCUGCUGCUGCUGCUGCUGCUGCUGCUGGGACUGGAAAUAAAACAACAAAAUGCAAAAUCACCCUGGAACAACCAGCAAGCAGUGAGAAAGAGAGGCAGUGAAAUAUAGAAACAGAGAGAGGGGGGUGGAAUGAGCGGAGUUGGCAGCACGCAAACUUAGAACCGAAACGAGCGAAACAAAUCGACAAGCGGAUGGAACAGCCACAAAACAGCAACAAUAGCAGCGAAAAUGGCUGUACAUAAGCAUCAGCAUCAUCAAAUGCAAAAGCAAAAGCAACAAUAUCAAAAAAUAUGGCACUGUUAAAAAUAAACAAAAUAAACACACAAAAUACUUGCAAGU
rnacentral:lncRNA from 1 species